UACGUAGGUGGCAAGCGUUGUCCGGAUUUAUUGGGUUUAAAGGGUGCGUAGGCGGCCCUGUAAGUCAGUUGUGAAAUACGGCAGCUUAACUGUCGAGGUGCAAUUGAUACUGCAGGGCUUGAGUACUGAUGAGGUAGGCGGAAUGGACGGUGUAGCGGUGAAGUGCUUAGAGAUCGUCCAGAACACCGAUAGCGAAGGCAGCUUACUAAGGAGUAACUGACGCUGAGGCACGAAAGUGUGGGGAUCAAACAGG
rnacentral:rRNA from 1 species